AUUGAACGCUGGCGGCAGGCCUAACACAUGCAAGUCGAACGAGUGGCGGACGGGUGAAUAAUGUCUGGGAAACUGCCCGAAGGAGGGGGAUAACUACUGGAAACGGUAGCUAAUACCGCAUACCAUCGGAUGUGCCCAGAUGGGAUUAGCUAGUGGGUGGGGUAACGGCUCACCUAGGCGACGAUCCCUAGCUGUUCUGAGAGGAUGAGCAGCCACACUGGAAUGGGGACACGGCCCAGACUCUUACGGGAGUCACCGUGGGGGAAGAUUGCACAAGGGGCGAAAGCCGGAUGCAGCCAUGCCGCGUGUAUGAAGAAGGCCUUCGGGGUGUAAAGUACUUUCAGCGGGGAGGCGUUACCCGCAGAAGAAGCACCGGCUAACUCCGUGCCAGCAGCCGCGGUAAUAC
rnacentral:rRNA from 1 species